UACACGACCGUACCGCAAACCGACACUGGUGCGCGAGAUGAGUAUUCUAAGGCGCUUGAGAGAACUCAGGAGAAGGAACUCGGCAAAUUGACACCGUAACUUCGGAAGAAGGUGUGCCUUUAGUAGGUGAACCAUUUACUUGGGGAGCCCAAUGAGGCUGCAAAAAAUCGGUGGCUGCAACUGUUUAUUAAAAACACAGCACUCUGCUAAGACGAAAGUCGACGUAUAGGGUGUGACGCCUGCCCGGUGCUGGAAGAUUAAAUGAUGGGGUGCAAGCUCUUGAUUGAAGUCCCAGUAAACGGCGGCCGUAACAAUAACGGUCCUAAGGUAGCGAAAUUCCUUGUCGGGUAAGUUCCGACCUGCACGAAUGGCGUAAUGAUGGCCACACUGUCUCCUCCUGAGACUCAGCGAAGUUGAAAUGUUUGUGAUGAUGCAAUCUCCCCGCGGAAAGACGGAAAGACCCCAUGAACCUUUACUGUAGCUUUGUAUUGGACUUUGAACAGAUCUGUGUAGGAUAGGUGGGAGGCUUUGAAGUGUGGUCGCUAGAUCGCAUGGAGCCAACGUUGAAAUACCACCCUGGUGUGUUUGAGGUUCUAACCUAGGUCCAUUAUCUGGAUCGGGGACAGUGCAUGGUGGGCAGUUUGACUGGGGCGGUCUCCUCCCAAAGUGUAACGGAGGAGUUCGAAGGUACGCUAGGUACGGUCGGACAUCGUGCUAAUAGUGCAAUGGCAUAAGCGUGCUUAACUGCGAGACUGACAAGUCGAGCAGAUGCGAAAGCAGGACAUAGUGAUCCGGUGGUUCUGUAUGGAAGGGCCAUCGCUCAACGGAUAAAAGGUACUCUGGGGAUAACAGGCUGAUACCGCCCAAGAGUUCAUAUCGACGGCGGUGUUUGGCACCUCGAUGUCGGCUCAUCUCAUCCUGGGGCUGUAGCCGGUCCCAAGGGUAUGGCUGUUCGCCAUUUAAAGAGGUACGUGAGCUGGGUUUAAAACGUCGUGAGACAGUUUGGUCCCUAUCUUCCGUGGGCGCUGCAGAUUUGAGGAAGCCUGCUCCUAGUACGAGAGGACCGGAGUGGACGAACCUCUGUGUAUCGGUUGUCACGCCAGUGGCAUUGCCGAGUAGCUAAGUUCGGAAGAGAUAACCGCUGAAAGCAUCUAAGCGGGAAACUCGUUUCAAGAUUAGAUCUGCCGGGGCCUUGAGCCCCCUAAAGAGUCGUUCAAGACCAGGACGUUGAUAGGUCAGGUGUGGAAGCCAA
rnacentral:rRNA from 1 species